AAGUCGCCGUUGCACUGUAUAAAGGUGGUGUUCUAACCGUUCCAACGGAGUUCAACGAGUAUAGAGCACACUCUCUCAGCAGGACAAAGCAGAGGUAACACAGACACGCUGUGUGAGAAGUCCACAUUUCAGGCUCUUCAAAAUCCUACCCGCUUUCGUUUCAUAUCAAUAACAAGUCUGACCGAGGAGUCACAUGUCUUGGUUCAAAGUGAGGUCGAGCACGGCUGGCAUGUCGACGGCAGUGGAUGCGGAAUGUUUUGGACUGAAUAACAAGACAAGCAGAUGAAGAGUGAGCCUGUAACAACUAGACCGCUGUCAUCCUCCUGAUCUGCUAUGAUAGCAACAGCGCUGAACCAUUUCCUCAGGAUGGAGAGGGAGACAGCAGAUUAAAGGGAAGGCUGCCCUCUUGAGGCUGCCAUCUAUCAACACCCACCCUCUCCAUGCCACUUGUCAGUGUUUUAUUGUAAUAGAUCUUAUUAUAAUGUUUCACUGGACUGCUUUAUUAAAAGUCAAGCUGUU